rnacentral:misc_RNA from 1 species
CUCCCAAAUUCAAUAUUAAAUAGACACUUAUUCAUUAAGUAGAGACAAGUUUGAGUCCGAGAUCUCCAAUUCCCCAGCUAAAAAAAAAAUAAAAACAGCGAGCUCAAAGUUCUUUUAGAUAGUCAAAUCUCCCCCAAAAGAUGGACUUGUUGAGCUCACUUGUUAAGCCAAGGAGACCUAAAUAUAACGAAAUUCGACUAAUAGAAUUAUCAUUACUAUAACAAAAAGCACACAGAACAUACCUUCUGCAAUGAAGUCUUGCAACAAGAACCAAAUUUUUUAAAUCAAAAAACGAUUUUGGAUAAAAGACAUUAUCACAGAGCAAGAAAAGCCAACAGUGAAUGAUCUCUAUUUUCUAAGUGAUAGAAGAUCAAUCUUUUCACAAAUAAAGUCCUUCUGGUACGCCUUCCUUCUUCUUGAACAUCACCUUCUCUUUUGCCUUUUUGAAGUCAGCAUGUGUUACCUUCAUACGUCGCUCUCGUAAAGCGAGCAAACCAGCUUCAGUACAUAUAGCUUUUAUAUCAGCUCCAGAGAACUCAUCUUUAGUCAUAACAAAUUCUUCCAAGUUGACAUCAUCAGCCAAUGUCAUCCUUGAUGUGUGUAUCUGAAAAAUACGUCGCCUUGUUUUGAUAUCAGGAAGUGGAAAUUCAAUCUUCCUAUCUAUUCGACCGGGCCGGAGCAAAGCUGGAUCAAGACUUUCAAUUCUGUUGGUUGCAAGAAUCACUUUGACAUCUCCCCUUGAAUCAAAACCAUCUAAUUGGUUCAGUAACUCUAACAUGGUUCUCUGAAUUUCACGUUCACCACCUGAAUGAGCAUCAUACCUCUUUGUACCAACUGCAUCAAUUUCAUCAAUGAAAACAAUUGAUGGUGAGAGAUCAUCAGCAACUCUGAAAAGUUCCCUCACUAAUUUUGGGCCAUCUCCCAAGUACUUUUGAAUUAAUUCACUACCGACAACACGUAAGAAAGUUGCUGAUGUUGAAUUUGCCACUGCCUUUGCAAGCAAGGUUUUGCCAGUUCCAGGCUCUCCAUAUAGUAUGACUCCCUUUGGAGGCUUAAUACCAAUAUCUUCAUACAGUUCAGGAUGAGUCAGAGGGAGCUCAACUGCUUCUUUAAUUUCUUGUAUUUGGGCAUCUAAACCGCCUAUAUCAGCAUAAGACUCUAAUGGAGCCUUCUCAACCUUCAUUACAGAGACCAUUGGAUCAACUUCAUCCUGAAGAAGCCCAACAACAGAUAGGACCUUAUUAUGCAUCAAGAUAGCACAGCCAGGCUCCAGCUGAUCCUUAUCAACAAAAGACAAAAUCCCAACAUAAUACUCAGGCCCAACCGAUGAAGAAACAAUGGCGUGAUUUUCAUCAAUCAACUCUUCCAAGUUCCCCACACUCAUAGGCGAACCCCUCAAAUCAUCAACCUUGGAUCGGUCCUCCUCUGCUUUCUCUUCCUGAGGCUUCAACCUCUCCUGGUUGGCCACGAACUCCUCCUCCAUCAGCAGAUAGUCCUUAAUUCGCUCUAACUUUAACAGUCUCAGUUUGCACUUCGUCAAUGGCGUCACAGUCGGCAGCCGGGCAGCAGCCUCCGGCCCCUUCUGCUUGCGCUGUUUUCGGCCGACGCGGGCCGGUGGAGCAGCCGGCUCGAAUUUCUUGUCUUUCUUAUCGCCUCCGUCAGACUUCCGGUCUCCCGGAAGACCUUGCCGGUUACCGGAUGGUCCCUGACCCAUGGCUUGGUUUUCUGAGAGAGAUUUGAGCUAGCUUUGGGAACAAGUUAGCUAAUGUUUCCG